UGAUACUUAUUAUUCUGGUUGAAAUUCCGCAAAUAUAGGUAGGUCGACUAAACCAAAUUUACUUGCACUUCAAAUGUUUAAGAGGCUAAAUUUGUGCGUGUGUCGUUCUUGGCAGGGAUCAGGGGGAGCAGAGUGGUGCACAACAGUGGUAUUACCAAAUCACAAAUCUUUUGCUUACAUCAGCAAGUGGACACCUUGUGAGCAAAACUCAAGCUUAGGUCCAGAUUUCUUCAAUCAGUGGUGCUUCAAUUAUGCGUAGGGAAAUUCAAUAUUCUAUUAUUCAACAAAACAAAGUUUCAACUGUGGUAUUGCAGUUUCAACUUGCGAUUUUCUCCAUACUGUAUAUAGUUUUUUUUUGAGAAUCCAUACUGUAUAUAGUCAACUUGCGAGUAAGUGCUUCUUUUAUUUGAAUCCGGAUUGGUGUGCCACUCUGCAAAAUCUGCAAAUAGGUUAUUUUGUUUGACUGAUAUCAAAUUAUUCAUAUGUUUUCACCAAUUAUUCAUGCUUUAUUACCAGUAAUCACAACAGCAAU
rnacentral:lncRNA from 1 species